rnacentral:misc_RNA from 1 species
GAAAUGCGAUACGUAAUGUGAAUUGCAGAAUUCAGUGAAUCAUCGAGUCUUUGAACGCACAUUGCGCCCCCUGGUAUUCCGGGGGGCAUGCCUGUCCGAGCGUCAUUGCUGCCCUCAAGCACGGCUUGUGUGUUGGGCCCCCGUUCCCCCCCAAGGGGACGGGCCCGAAAGGCAGCGGCGGCACCGUGUCCGGUCCUCGAGCGUAUGGGAAGCAACUUUUUGUCACCCGCUCCUGUAGGUCCGGCCGGCGGCCUGCCCAACCCCAACCUUUUUUUCAACCAGGUUGACCUCGGAUCAGGUAGGGAUACCCGCUGAACUUAAGC